GAUGAACGCUGGCGGCGUGCCUAAUACAUGCAAGUCGAGCGAACAGACGAGGAGCUUGCUCCUCUGACGUUAGCGGCGGACGGGUGAGUAACACGUGGAUAACCUACCUAUAAGACUGGGAUAACUUCGGGAAACCGGAGCUAAUACCGGAUAAUAUAUUGAACCGCAUGGUUCAAUAGUGAAAGACGGUUUUGCUGUCACUUAUAGAUGGAUCCGCGCCGCAUUAGCUAGUUGGUAAGGUAACGGCUUACCAAGGCGACGAUGCGUAGCCGACCUGAGAGGGUGAUCGGCCACAUUGGAAGUGAGACACGGUCCAGACUCCUACGGGAGGCAGCAGUAGGGAAUCUUCCGCAAUGGGCGGAAGUUUGACGGAGCAACGCCGCGUGAGUGAUGAAGGUCUUCGGAUCGUAAAACUCUGUUAUUAGGGAAGAACAAAUGUGUAAGUAACUAUGCACGUCUUGACGGUACCUAAUCAGAAAGCCACGGCUAACUACGUG
rnacentral:rRNA from 1 species